rnacentral:rRNA from 1 species
CCUACGGGUGGCAGCAGUGGGGGAUAUUGCACAAUGGGGGGAACCCUGAUGCAGCGACGCCGCGUGGGUGAAGAAGCGCCUCGGCGCGUAAAGCCCUGUCAGCAGGGGAGAAAAUGACGGUACCUGAGGAAGAAGCCCCGGCUCACUACGUGCCAGCAGCCGCGGUAAUACGUAGGGGGCAAGCGUUAUCCGGAUUUACUGGGUGUAAGGGGGGCGCAGACGGCGAUGCAAGCCAGGAGUGAAAGCCCGGGGCCCAACCCCGGGACUGCUGUUGGAACUGCGUGGCUGGAGUGCAGGAGGGGCAGGCGGAAUUCGUGGUGUAGCGGUGAAAUGCGUAGAUAUCAGGAAGAACACCGGUGGCGAAGGCGGCCUGCUGGACGGCAACUGACGUUGAGGCCCGAAAGCGUGGGGAGCAAACAGGAUUAGAUACCCGAGUAGUC